GAUGAACGCUGGCGGCGUGCCUAAUACAUGCAAGUCGAGCGAACAGACGAGGAGCUUGCUCCUCUGACGUUAGCGGCGGACGGGUGAGUAACACGUGGAUAACCUACCUAUAAGACUGGGAUAACUUCGGGAAACCGGAGCUAAUACCGGAUAAUAUAUUGAACCGCAUGGUUCAAUAGUGAAAGACGGUUUUGCUGUCACUUAUAGAUGGAUCCGCGCCGCAUUAGCUAGUUGGUAAGGUAACGGCUUACCAAGGCGACGAUGCGUAGCCGACCCGAGAGGGUGAUCGGCCACACGGGAACUGAGACACGGUCCAGACUCCUACGGGAGGCAGCAGUAGGGAAUCUUCCGCAAUGGGCGAAAGCCUGACGGAGCAACGCCGCGUGAGUGAUGAAGGUCUUCGGAUCGUAAAACUCUGUUAUUAGGGAAGAACAAAUGUGUAAGUAACUAUGCACGUCUUGACGGUACCUAAUCAGAAAGCCACGGCUAACUACGUG
rnacentral:rRNA from 1 species